AGUGAACGCUGGCGGUAGGCCUAACACAUGCAAGUCGAACGGCAGCACAGUAAGAGCUUGCUCUUACGGGUGGCGAGUGGCGGACGGGUGAGGAAUACAUCGGAAUCUACUUUUUCGUGGGGGAUAACGUAGGGAAACUCACGCUAAUACCGCAUACGACCUACGGGUGAAAGCAGGGGAUCUUCGGACCUUGCGCGAUUGAAUGAGCCGAUGUCGGAUUAGCUAGUUGGCGGGGUAAAGGCCCACCAAGGCGACGAUCCGUAGCUGGUCUGAGAGGAUGAUCAGCCACACUGGAACUGAGACACGGUCCAGACUCCUACGGGAGGCAGCAGUGGGGAAUAUUGGACAAUGGGCGCAGGCCUGAUCCAGCCAUACCGCGUGGGUGAAGAAGGCCUUCGGGUUGUAAAGCCCUUUUGUUGGGAAAGAAAAGCAGCAGGUUAAUACCCCGCUGUUCUGACGGUACCCAAAGAAUAAGCACCGGCUAACUUCGUG
rnacentral:rRNA from 1 species